GAUUAACGCUGGCGGCGUGCAUAACACAUGCAGGUCGAACGAUGGAACUUAGUAGACUUCUUCGGAAAGACACUAAGCGGAUUAGUGGCGAACGGGUGAGUAACGCGUGAGUAACCUGCCUUACACAAGGGGAUAGCCUUUGGAAACGAAGAAUAAUACCCUAUAAAACCAUAAAAGCACAUGCUAGAAUGGUCAAAGUGAUAGCGGUGUAAGAUGGACUUGCGUCUGAUUAGCUAGUUGGUGAGAUAAAAGCUCACCAAGGCAACGAUCAGUAGCCGGCUUGAGAGAGUGUACGGCCACAUUGGGACUGAGACACGGCCCAGACUCCUACGGGAGGCAGCAGUGGGGAAUUUUGCACAAUGGGGGAAACCCUGAUGCAGCGACGCCGCGUGAUUUAGAAGGCCUUCGGGUUGUAAAAAUCUUUUGUAUAGGAAGAAAAUGACAGUACUAUAAGAAUAAGGUCCGGCUAAGUACGUG
rnacentral:rRNA from 1 species